rnacentral:piRNA from 1 species
UCAGAGCUCUGCAGACUACUGGACAACAU